rnacentral:rRNA from 1 species
UACGGGGGGGGCAAGCGUUGUUCGGAAUUACUGGGCGUAAAGGGCUCGUAGGUGGCCAACUAAGUCGGAUGUGAAAUCCCCAGGCUCAACCUGGGAACUGCAUCCGAUACUGGAUGGCUUGAAUCCGGGAGAGGGAUGCAGAAUUCCACGUGUAGCGGUGAAAUGCGUAGAGAUGUGGAGGAACACCAGUGGCGAAGGCGACUUUCUGGCUUAUAACUGACGCUGAGGCGCGAAAGCGUGGGGAGCAAACAGG